UGGGGAAUAUUGGACAAUGGGGGCAACCCUGAUCCAGCAAUGCCGCGUGUGUGAAGAAGGUCUUCGGAUUGUAAAGCACUUUCGACGGGGACGAUGAUGACGGUACCCGUAGAAGAAGCCCCGGCUAACUUCGUGCCAGCAGCCGCGGUAAUACGAAGGGGGCUAGCGUUGCACGGAAUGACUGGGCGUAAAGGGCGUGUAGGCGGUUUGUACAGUCAGAUGUGAAAUCCCCGGGCUUAACCUGGGAGCUGCAUUUGAUACGUGCAGACUAGAGUGUGAGAGAGGGUUGUGGAAUUCCCAGUGUAGAGGUGAAAUUCGUAGAUAUUGGGAAGAACACCGGUGGCGAAGGCGGCAACCC
rnacentral:rRNA from 1 species